AUUGAACGCUGGCGGAAUGCUUUACACAUGCAAGUCGAACGGUAGAGGGGGCAACCCCUUGAGAGUGGCGAACGGGUGAGUAAUAUAUCGGAACGUGCCCAGGUCGUGGGGAUAACGUAGCGAAAGUUACGCUAAUACCGCAUACGAUCUAAGGAUGAAAGCGGGGGAUCGCAAGACCUCGCGCGAUUGGAGCGGCCGAUAUCAGAUUAGGUAGUUGGUGAGGUAAAGGCUCGACCAAGCCAACGAUCUGUAGCUGGUCUGAGAGGACGACCAGCCACACUGGAACUGAGACACGGUCCAGACUCCUACGGAGGCAGCAGUGGGGAAUUUUGGGACAAUGGACGCAAGGUCUGAUCCAGCCAUUCCGCGUAGCCAGGAUGAAGGCCCUCGGG
rnacentral:rRNA from 1 species